GUAAGUAGGGUAGUUAACUUUGGGAUUCAGUCUUUAAUUAGACAAAUAUUGUGAUAUAUCAAUAUUGAAUUCUCAGGAAGGUCCGGCCACCAAUUACAAGUCACUUUGCGAAAGCAUUGAUGUCGUGAGGCAUAGCUCUGGAACAGAAAUGCCACAGCCCUUGUUGAACUGUGAAUCAUGCGAGGAGUUAAGAUACAAGGGAUUUGAUGAAACAGCCAUCUUGACUGGUGCAAGCCUAUAAGGUGCUUAGUCAAAUGUUAACACUUUCCGUCUGGCACCAAAAUGGUGUACCCUUUCGAAGGGCAAACAGGGAAAGACAGAAGCUGGCCUAUUCCCUUCUUAC
rnacentral:RNase_P_RNA from 1 species